rnacentral:rRNA from 1 species
UACCUCAGUAACGGCGAGUGAAGCGGUAACAGCUCAAAUUUGAAAUCUGGCUCUUUCAGGGUCCGAGUUGUAAUUUGUAGAAGAUGCUUCAGGUGUGGCUCCGGUCUAAGUUCCUUGGAACAGGACGUCAUAGAGGGUGAGAAUCCCGUAUGUGACUGGUUGCCUUCGCCUAUGUGAAGCUCUUUCGACGAGUCGAGUUGUUUGGGAAUGCAGCUCUAAAUGGGAGGUAAAUUUCUUCUAAAGCUAAAUAUUGGCCAGAGACCGAUAGCGCACAAGUAGAGUGAUCGAAAGAUGAAAAGCACUUUGGAAAGAGAGUUAAACAGUACGUGAAAUUGUUGAAAGGGAAGCGCUUGCAACCAGACUUGCCUGCCGUCGAUCAUCCUCCGUUCUCGGGGGUGCACUCGGCGGUGGUCAGGCCAGCAUCGGUUUCGGUGGUGGGAUAAAGACCUUGGGAAUGUAGCUCCUCUCGGGGAGUGUUAUAGCCCUCGGUGCAAUGCCGCCUACCGGGACCGAGGACCGCGCUUCGGCUAGGAUGCUGGCGUAAUGGUUGUAAGCGACCCGUCUUGAAACACGGACCAAGGAGUCUAACAUCUAUGCGAGUGUUUGGGUGUUAAACCCAUACGCGUAAUGAAAGUGAACGGAGGUGAGAACCCUUUAGGGUGCAUCAUCGACCGAUCCUGAUGUCUUCGGAUGGAUUUGAGUAAGAGCAUAGCUGUUGGGACCCGAAAGAUGGUGAACUAUGCCUAAAUAGGGUGAAGCCAGAGGAAACUCUGGUGGAGGCUCGCAGCGGUUCUGACGUGCAAAUCGAUCGUCAAAUUUGGGUAUAGGGGCGAAAGACUA